AUUGAACGCUGGCGGCAGGCCUAACACAUGCAAGUCGAACGGUAACAGGAAGCAGCUUGCUGCUUCGCUGACGAGUGGCGGACGGGUGAGUAAUGUCUGGGAAACUGCCUGAUGGAGGGGGAUAACUACUGGAAACGGUAGCUAAUACCGCAUAACGUCGCAAGACCAAAGAGGGGGACCUUAGGGCCUCUUGCCAUCGGAUGUGCCCAGAUGGGAUUAGCUAGUAGGUGGGGUAACGGCUCACCUAGGCGACGAUCCCUAGCUGGUCUGAGAGGAUGACCAGCCACACUGGAACUGAGACACGGUCCAGACCCUACGGGAGGCAGCAGUGGGGAAUAUUGCACAAUGGGCGCAAGCCUGAUGCAGCCAUGCCGCGUGUAUGAAGAAGGCCUUCGGGUUGUAAAGUACUUUCAGCGGGGAGGAAGGGAGUAAAGUUAAUACCUUUGCUCAUUGACGUUACCCGCAGAAGAAGCACCGGCUAACUCCGUG
rnacentral:rRNA from 1 species